UCGCUCACGCGCUUACGUCAAGGAACAGGAACUAGAUAAUAGACCGACCCGCUCGCCUCGUUACCACACACAAUACCUCCACAUAGCACGGACAAACAGACACCGCAUCACCAGCUAAAGGAAAUAAAGAACCGUAUCCUGGACUCAGUUUGAAGGUCUCCCCUUGCCUGCUGCUCGUUCGUUCUGCUUGACACGACUUCAUUCAAUCAAUCCGAAGAAAUGUGCCCACACACAACACAAACACCUUAUCGGAAAUGGGCUCAAGACUGUUAGGAGAAACGAAUCGGCCUAAUUGUGUUUACCGCAUUACCCUAUUUCGGAGUGACAGUGGAGAAACUUCUAGAGUGUCGGUGAUAUGAUUCUGCAGGAGGUGAGAGGUUUAUCCUACCAAAAAGAAAAAACA